rnacentral:rRNA from 1 species
GAUGAACGCUGGCGGCGUGCCUAAUACAUGCAAGUCGAGCGAACGGACGAGAAGCUUGCUUCUCUGAUGUUAGCGGCGGACGGGUGAGUAACACGUGGAUAACCUACCUAUAAGACUGGGAUAACUUCGGGAAACCGGAGCUAAUACCGGAUAAUAUUUUGAACCGCAUGGUUCAAAAGUGAAAGACGGUCUUGCUGUCACUUAUAGAUGGAUCCGCGCUGCAUUAGCUAGUUGGUAAGGUAACGGCUUACCAAGGCAACGAUGCAUAGCCGACCUGAGAGGGUGAUCGGCCACACUGGAACUGAGACACGGUCCAGACUCCUACGGGAGGCAGCAGUAGGGAAUCUUCCGCAAUGGGCGAAAGCCUGACGGAGCAACGCCGCGUGAGUGAUGAAGGUCUUCGGAUCGUAAAACUCUGUUAUUAGGGAAGAACAUAUGUGUAAGUAACUGUGCACAUCUUGACGGUACCUAAUCAGAAAGCCACGGCUAACUACGUGCCAGCAGCCGCGGUAAUACGUAGGUGGCAAGCGUUAUCCGGAAUUAUUGGGCGUAAAGCGCGCGUAGGCGGUUUUUUAAGUCUGAUGUGAAAGCCCACGGCUCAACCGUGGAGGGUCAUUGGAAACUGGAAAACUCGAGUGCAGAAGAGGAAAGUGGAAUUCCAUGUGUAGCGGUGAAAUGCGCAGAGAUAUGGAGGAACACCAGUGGCGAAGGCGACUUUCUGGUCUGUAACUGACGCUGAUGUGCGAAAGCGUGGGGAUCAAACAGGAUUAGAUACCCUGGUAGUCCACGCCGUAAACGAUGAGUGCUAAGUGUUAGGGGGUUUCCGCCCCUUAGUGCUGCAGCUAACGCAUUAAGCACUCCGCCUGGGGAGUACGACCGCAAGGUUGAAACUCAAAGGAAUUGACGGGGACCCGCACAAGCGGUGGAGCAUGUGGUUUAAUUCGAAGCAACGCGAAGAACCUUACCAAAUCUUGACAUCCUUUGACAACUCUAGAGAUAGAGCCUUCCCCUUCGGGGGACAAAGUGACAGGUGGUGCAUGGUUGUCGUCAGCCCGUGUCGUGAGAUGUUGGGUUAAGUCCCGCAACGAGCGCAACCCUUAAGCUUAGUUGCCAUCAUUAAGUUGGGCACUCUAAGUUGACUGCCGGUGACAAACCGGAGGAAGGUGGGGAUGACGUCAAAUCAUCAUGCCCCUUAUGAUUUGGGCUACACACGUGCUACAAUGGACAAUACAAAGGGCAGCGAAACCGCGAGGUCAAGCAAAUCCCAUAAAGUUGUUCUCAGUUCGGAUUGUAGUCUGCAACUCGACUACAUGAAGCUGGAAUCGCUAGUAAUCGUAGAUCAGCAUGCUACGGUGAAUACGUUCCCGGGUCU